rnacentral:rRNA from 1 species
AUUGAACGCUAGCGGGAUGCUUUACACAUGCCAGUCGAACGGCAGCGCGGACUUCGGUCUGGCGGCGAGUGGCGAACGGGGGAGUAAUGUAUCGGAACGUGCCCAGUAGCGGGGGAUAACUACGCGAAAGCGUAGCUAAUACCGCAUACGCCCUACGGGGGAAAGCAGGGGGUCGUAAGACCUUGCCCUAUUGGAGCGGCCGAUAUCGGGUUAGCUAGUUUGUGAGGUAACGGCUGACCAAGGGGACGAUCCGUAGCUGGUGUGAGAGGACGACAAGCCACAUGGGGACUGGGACGCGGCCCAGACUCCUACGGGAGGGAGCAGUGGGGAAUUGUGGACAAUGGGGGCAACCCUGAUCCAGCCAGCCGGCGUGUGAGAUGAAGGCCUUCGGGUUGUAAAGCACUUUUGGCAGGAAAGAAACGUCGCGGGCUAAUACCCCGUGGAACUGACGGUACCUGCAGAAUAAGCACCGGCUAACUACGUG